ACGGAGGAUGCAAGUGUUAUCCGGAAUUACUGGGCGUAAAGCGUCUGUAGGUGGUUUAAUAAGUCAACUGUUAAAUCUUGAGGCUUAACUUCAAAACAGCAGUCGAAACUAUUAGACUAGAGUAUAGUAGGGGUAAAGGGAAUUUCCAGUGGAGCGGUGAAAUGCGUAGAUAUUGGAAAGAACACCGAUGGCGAAAGCACUUUACUGGGCUAUUACUAACACUCAGAGACGAAAGCUAGGGUAGCAAAUGGGAUUAGAUACCCCAGUAGUCCUAGCUGUAAACAAUGGAUACUAGAUGUUGAACAGAUCGACCUGUGCAGUAUUAAAGCUAACGCGUUAAGUAUCCCGCCUGGGAAGUAUGCUCGCAAGAGUG
rnacentral:rRNA from 1 species